UAUAUUUGGUGAUCUGGUCAUCAAUAUGUUCAUGUUCUACAACCCUAUCGGCCCCGGGCAAAGAAUCACACACGUUAUCAUAGGCGAGGACUGGUCGUGGCUAUAUGCAAGUGUGGUCGCCGACACCCAGGCAGGCUCAACAUAUAGCAUGCAUACACGGGCUCUUUUCUUUAUACUAUGCACCUUGAAUUCUGUGAGAUAUACACGUACAUUGCUCCCAAGUCAUAUAGAGGUUAAUGCUCAAUCUUUAUUUUAUUUUUAUUAAGAAACUAAUUGGUGAUGCUUUGUACAUAAUAGUCAGGAUCUGGUUCACAUGACUAUAUGUUGCCCUGCAUAAAUGAUCUUCACCACUCUCUCUAUACCCUUUUAUAUAUUGUUUGACUUUUUUACUUUUCUAUCUGCAGAUGAGUAAGAGAAGAAAAAUGGAUGUGCCCCUGUUUACAUCAAGAGAAUGUACCCCAUUUAAGGACCUAACAAACACAACUAUGGAUGGUAGUGCUAAUAUCCCACAUAAUCAAACGGACGAUCCUAAAAGGAAAAGUGUUCAAUCAUGGUGAUGAGAAGAAAGCAGAAUACAACGCGAAGUGUCAUAUAUCAUGACAACAAACGAGAGUUGCAGCUCUAGACUGUCUUAAUCAGGACCAAUUAUCACAAACAUGUGUUUCUCCGUUAGACUGUGCUAUGGUUCAUCUCUACAACAGUUUUCCUAUCUAACAUCAUGUGUAUCUCAGUGCAGCUUCUGGUCAGGCCCCACUUGUUUCUGGCGAUCCCAGGUUCCAGUCAAAUGCAAUAGGAUAUGUAAUGCUUAUUUGUCACAUUCAUUCAUUAUGUAUUAACUCUUCUCUCCUGUGACGGUAAUGUGUCACAAAUUCAUCAAAAAAUGUGCCACUCCCUCCUAAUGCUCCCUCAUGGUGCUAGAAAAACUCCCAGGUCAGAAAAAUUAUCACGGUUGCUUCAACAUUUAUCUCUUUGAGCUGUAAUAAGAGUUUUGCGACAAGGCUGCCUUGCAACAUUUUAUACGACCAUAUUAUUUUCUGGAGAUUUUAUAUUGCCUGACCAUUAAUUUGGCUUCAAAUGCUCCCGAUGAGGCUUGAAAGUUCGUUAAGUGUGGUAAGACCACUCUCACAUUCAGG
rnacentral:lncRNA from 1 species